rnacentral:rRNA from 1 species
UCGGGAAUAUUGCGCAAUGGAGGAAACUCUGACGCAGUGACGCCGCGUAUAGGAAGAAGGUUUUCGGAUUGUAAACUAUUGUCGUUAGGGAAGAUAAAAGACUGUACCUAAGGAGGAAGCCCCGGCUAACUAUGUGCCAGCAGCCGCGGUAAUACAUAGGGGGCAAGCGUUAUCCGGAAUUAUUGGGUGUAAAGGGUGCGUAGACGGAGAAACAAGUUGGUUGUGAAAUCCCUCGGCUCAACUGAAGAACUGCAACCAAAACUAUUUCCCUUGAGUGUCGGAGAGGAAAGUGGAAUUCCUAGU